AAGAAUCUUGAUAUCAUCCUUGUUGUCCAAUGUCCAUCACAAUCUUGAUUUGAAAUCCAACGGUUGAUAUUGUCCCCUUUGUUGGGCCCAACUCAACCUUUAUACAUAUUACUGCACCCCCAACCGCACAGAUCUACAAUUGCCCUCCUUUAUGGUGUAUAUAGAAAUCUAUACGUAUGCUACAACAACGGGAGCAGCAUCGAAUUUUACAGACGACGACUUAAAUUUAAAAAAGAAAAAGAAAUUUAAAGUGGGAUAAACAAAAUGAUAAAUACCCAUGGG
rnacentral:lncRNA from 1 species